UACGGGGGGGGCAAGCGUUGUUCGGAAUUACUGGGCGUAAAGGGCUCGUAGGUGGCCAACUAAGUCGGACGUGAAAUCCCUCAGCUUAACUGGGGAACUGCGUCCGAUACUGGAUGGCUUGAGUUUGGGAGAGGGAUACGGAAUUCCAGGUGUAGCGGUGAAAUGCGUAGAUAUCUGGAGGAACACCGGUGGCGAAGGCGGCAUCCUGGACCAACACUGACACUGAGGAGCGAAAGCCAGGGGAGCAAACGGG
rnacentral:rRNA from 1 species